AUGAAAAUAGUAAGCUAGAACUGCCGGGGGUUGGGUAACGGCCCGGUGGUUCAAAUUCUCCUUGAAAUGGGGAGAGUGGAGGACCUCGAUGUACUCUUUAUAUCGGAAACUCGGAUGACGGAAAAGGAACUAGACAAGUAUAGAUGGUCUCUAGGUCUAACUCAGAUGCUUGCAUGGGACCUGACUGGACGGAGUAGGGGGAUUGCACUGUUUUGGAGAAGGGGGCUGAACCUAUCUCUGCGAUCCUAUGGUAGGAGGCAUGUUGAUGUUGAUGUGAUAGAAGAACAUGGGAAGAUUUGGAGGUUGACGGGGGUG
rnacentral:rRNA from 1 species